UACGAAGGGGGCUAGCGUUGCUCGGAAUCACUAGGCGUAAAGGGUGCGUAGGCGGGUCUUUAAGUCAGGGGUGAAAUCCUGGAGCUCAACUCCAGAACUGCCUUUGAUACUGAAGAUCUUGAGUUCGGGAGAGGUGAGUGGAACUGCGAGUGUAGAGGUGAAAUUCGUAGAUAUUCGCAAGAACACCAGUGGCGAAGGCGGCUCACUGGCCCGAUACUGACGCUGAGGCACGAAAGCGUGGGGAGCAAACCGG
rnacentral:rRNA from 1 species